rnacentral:rRNA from 1 species
UCCGAAGGGUGCAAUCGUUACUCGGAAUUACUGGGCGUAAAGCGUGCGUAGGUGGUCGUUUAAGUCCGUUGUGAAAGCCCUGGGCUCAACCUGGGAACUGCAGUGGAUACUGGGCGACUAGAGUGUGGUAGAGGGUAGCGGAAUUCCUGGUGUAGCAGUGAAAUGCGUAGAGAUCAGGAGGAACAUCCAUGGCGAAGGCAGCUACCUGGACCAACACUGACACUGAGGCACGAAAGCGUGGGGAGCAAACAGG